rnacentral:rRNA from 1 species
GAGGAGAGUGGAAUUCCACGUGUAGCGGUGAAAUGCAUAGAGAUGUGGAGGAACACCAGUGGCGAAGGCGACUCUCUGGUCUGUAACUGACGCUGAGGCGCGAAAGCGUGGGGAGCGAACAGGAUUAGAUACCCUGGUAGUCCACGCCGUAAACGAUGAGUGCUAGGUGUUAGGGGGUUUCCGCCCCUUAGUGCUGAAGUUAACGCAUUAAGCACUCCGCCUGGGGAGUACGGCCGCAAGGCUGAAACUCAAAAGAAUUGACGGCCGCCCGCACAAGCGGUGGAGCAUGUGGUUUAAUUCGAAGCAACGCGAAGAACCUUACCAGGUCUUGACAUCCUCUGACCACGCUAGAGAUAGGGCUAUCCCUUCGGGGACAGAGUGACAGGUGGUGCAUGGUUGUCGUCAGCUCGUGUCGUGAGUUGUUGGGUUAAGUCCCGCAACGAGCGCAACCCUUAUUCUUAGUUGGGCAGCAUUUAGUUGGGCACUCUAACGAGACUGCCGGUGACAAACCGCAGGAAGGUGGGGAUGACGUCAAAUCAUCAUGCCCCUUAUGACCUGGGCUACACACGUGCUACAAUGGAUGGUACAAAGGGCAGCAAAACCGCGAGGUCGAGCAAAUCCCAUAAAACCAUUCUCAGUUCGGAUUGCAGGCUGCAACUCGCCUGCAUGAAGCCGGAAUCGCUAGUAAUCGCGGAUCAGCA